rnacentral:lncRNA from 1 species
AGAAGGCUGAGAUGAAUAACACUCUUUUACACAUGCAUACAUACACACACAUACACAUACACACACACACAAAAUUAGGUUUAGGUGUUUAGUGUGGGAAUUUGUGUUAGUAUGACUAAAAAUUGACUAUCUUUAAUGUUUGUUGUAGCUAUAUGUGCCAUUUUCUUCAAAUUCCUCUAGUGUCCUUGUUUCUGUUCUCUCUUGACCUUAAUCUUACUUAAGUACUUUUCUUGCAGGCUGUAUCUACAUCGCUUUCAGCUGUAACCCACUGUUAUAGUAGAUACUCAAUGGCAUGAUAGUAAGGUGUGAGGAAGAAAAAAAGUUCUACAAUGGCUUGCAUUCUUGGAAGGUAAAGGGAUAAGAAGCUGUGAAGGUUACGUAAUGGAGAUGAAAGGCAAGCUACAGGAAGUGAAAUUGGCAAUUCUUCUUGGUCCCUGUUUGGGAAAAUGUGAAUCUCAUCCUCUCAGUUUCUAGUUUGACAGACUAUAAGAGUUAGAGACGAAUGCUGAAAGACCAUGAAAAAUCUCAGAGACAAGUCAUUUCUGGGACAAUAAAUAGCGGAAGACAGCAUUUAACAAUGAAUUAAGGGAAAUUCCAUUCUUUCCUGUAUUUCAGCACUGCGGAAGUCUACGAAGCAGUUAAUGUUAAGAAAUACCAUUGACUAAAAAAAAAAAAAUGAUUUUCUGCAUUGGAUGUUAAAAGAUAUGAAGCAAGAAAUUGACCAUUCAGUGGAACAAUGUGAAUCCUAAAUUAUCUAAAUAAAAACAAGAGGAUCAGUUAAUUCAGAAAAAAGAAUUGUAUAAAUUCUGGAACUCGGUAGAUAUAUUCUCCUUAACAAAUUCUGGCAAAGAAUUCUCCCAAUCACUUAUUCAUUAGGGAUUGAGAAUUGACACUAGAAACAGAUAACUUGUGCUUAAUAUUGUGCUUAAGCUUUAAGCAUAGAAAAUUUCCUUGAUGCAAGGGGGUUACUGUGUCACCUCAAGUUAAAAGGCAAUUUAGGAAGUGAUAUGUAACUAGCAGUUUGAAAGUAUUCUAAAUAUUACUUGCUAACAAAAUUCACUCUCUACAGAAGGGACAUACCUAACAAAGAAUACAUCUUGCAGAUUGCUACAUAAAGAGUAAGUACAUUGACAAAUAUUAUGUACUUAAAAUAUAUACAGCUCUGUACUUAGCAUGCCACAUAGAAUUCCUUAAUAUUCCUCUUAACAGCUGUACAAGUUAACUUGACUUUUAUACGCAUUAUACACAUGAAAAAAAUGAGAUGAGAAAGGCCAAAUAAAAUGAAUGAAUGAAUGAAUGAGUUUUUAAAAUUUAUUUUGACAUGAGAGCCAAUCCUAUCAGCCUUGCUGAUUUCUUCAAAAUACUUGCAAAUAAGUUGCUAUAAUAUAAAAACAUCUUCUUAUUGUUUCUCUCUCCUUAAGGAUUUCUCUGAGACAUUUCUAAUAUUUAAAUCUUUUUUCCCAUAGGUUGUCUUUCACGGUACUUUGUAUACACUACUUUGGGUUCAUAUGCCUCAAGUGAAAAAUUGGUCUAAUAACAUUAAUACCUCUGUCACAACCCCAUUGCACAUGAUCAGUUCUAAUAAUGGGUUUUAAAGUAAUUUUGUUUUAUUUUAAAUUACUAUUCAGAUAUCAGUCACUAUGACAUCAGACUUUUUACUCUCUGUGAUAGUUAUAUAUCAACUUAGCUGGAGUAUAGUAUCAAGUUAUUCAAUAAAACACUAAUCUAGGUGUCACUGUGAAGGGAUUUUGUAGAUAUGAUUAACAUCUACAUUUAGUUGACACUAAGUAAAGGAGAUUUUCCUUGAUAAUGUGGUCAAGCCUCAUCCAAUCAAUUGAAAGGCCUGAGCUUUUCUAGAGGAAGAAGUAAUUUUAUCUCAGGACUCCAGCAUUAGCUACUGCUGGACAAUCCCAGCAUCCCAACCUGCCCAACAGAUUUUAGACUAGACUUACCACCUCAUAUGAGCACAUAGCAGAUUCCCAGAAAUCAAUCUAUCUACCUAUGUAUCUAUCAAUCUAUCAUCUCUCUCCUACUGCUUCUGUUUCUGUAGAUGACACUGACAGAUGUGAAUAUUCACAUAAAAGCUGUCAAUAUGCAUGUUCCUUCCUACUACUUGUACCAAUUAAGCAAAGAGUGUAACGGAUGCAUAUUUUUCUAAAGAAUUUCUGUAUGUGUUCUCCGAUUAUUGGUCAGAAAUAAAAAUAUGUUUAUAAUGCAAAAUUCAUAAAAUGUGUAUAAAUGAUAAUGUAUAUGCCUAUAUAAGUGUGUGUUUUUCUGUGUAUACAUAUAUGUAUAUAUGAGUGUGUGUGUAUGUGUGUGCAUUUUUUUGUAACUGAUACUGUGGCCUUUUAUAUCUACCAAAAUCCAGGACUAGUUUAGAAAAGAAAUUACAGCAGCAUUCUAAAAUUUACUUGUUUGAUAUAAAUAUAUUUUUGUAACUUUUUUUGCCUGACAUUUGUGCUGUAAAUCAAAAGUACUUUUGUGAAAGCAAUUUUUUUAAACAAUCUUCUCUGAAAUUGUGUAGGAGGAAGUGAAUCGCUACCACUCAAUCCUGACAUUAAUUCAACAGACACAUAUUUUGAUUUCUGAAGAAUUAUGGAAACAUUCUUUCAGAAGAGAACAAUGAAAGAUAGCAUUCUGUGUUUAGCACAUUUCCCCUUUCCAAGUGGCAGUGGAGCGUUGUAACAGCAAAGUAAAUUGCUUCUUAUUUCUAUGUGCUUUUUAAAACUGUGACACUGACUGAGCUGAACCACCAAGACCACAUCUGUACACAGCUAAAUAAAAGGUUUUACAUGAUGGCAAAACUGGGCAGAAUUAAUUUGUCCUUGGAUGUACUGAUGAUUGCAAUGCUUACACCACUGCUUUAUACACAGUAGGGUAACACUCAGAGUACUAUCAUGAAAUUCAGUUUUUAAUUUAAAAGAUUUUGAAAAAAGGACUCAUUACACAGGUAUGGCCAAGAUGAAGAGACACAGAAACGUCUGAUUGUAUACUGUAGCAUUAGUGACAGAUUGCCUGAGCAAGAAGUGAGAAAAAUAUUACUGAAGCCUCAGAGAGUUUGAAGCUUUAGAAAUAAAGCUGCCUAGCAAGAAUUGCAACCAUAGAAUAUAGUCAUUGCCCCAGAUUGAAGCAAGGCAAGGACAGGGGUUUGUUAGGAGUGAUGAAUACCUUGAUCUUUCUCUGUUCCAGCCAGCCCUCUAAUUUUCUGUGAUACUACUGGCCAAACCCAAUCAGAGGCUAAAAUUCAAGUGAUAUUGGGUGAUACGUGUGUAGGGCCAAAACUCCUUGAAAACAGAACAGGGAAGGGCUUGGAACAAUGGAGUUUCAAGGAGAGUAGCAAAUUAACAUAGUAGACAUACAAUCUAUAAGUUCGAGUUGAGGGCAGAAAUCAGUCUAGGCUGUUCAAUGGUAUGAAGUCAGGAACAAGGAUCAUACUUCUGAGCCAUAUGGAGGUAAGAUGCUAGAGGGAGAUGGUAAGUAAGCUACUAUUUUUUCCACUUAUGUAAGUAGAAA